CAGUCGCCACGGGAAUACGUAGGGUGCGAGCGUUAAUCGGAAUUACUGGGCGUAAAGCGUGCGCAGGCGGUUGUGUAAGACAGGUGUGAAAUCCCCGGGCUUAACCUGGGAACUGCGCUUGUGACUGCACAGCUAGAGUAUGGCAGAGGGGGGUGGAAUUCCACGUGUAGCAGUGAAAUGCGUAGAGAUGUGGAGGAACACCGAUGGCGAAGGCAGCCCCCUGGGCCAAUACUGACGCUCAUGCACGAAAGCGUGGGGAGCAAACAGGAUUAGAUACCCGUGUAGUCCCUGUCUCUUAUAA
rnacentral:rRNA from 1 species